CUUGGACCUACUGGUCGAGCUUUUCCCUUGGGUGGCCGUACCCACUGGGAACCAUGGAGUUGGUUCUCACCCCACGUUGUUUUGGGGUGUUACAGGUUCGCACGUGAGCGGCGCGGCGGCGCGAGGCAACGGCGUAGCUCCAUAGAUAGCGCUCUACCACAGAGACUAGAGAUACGGUACCCCGAAUCGGCAUAGCCUAGGAGAGGAAAUGAAAACAACAGAAUGUAUUCAAACUUGUAAAUAAAGGAUUUGUAAUGUAAAGAUGCAUUAAAUGUGAAUGGUUGUAAUAACAUAGGAUGUGUUAUGUUUUUGGAUACUUCCUUAUGCAAUUGUUGUAUGAAUACUGUUCCUGUUUGGAACCACUUGUAUUGUAUCGAUUGCGACGCCUUGGACGUACAGGGAAAACUCUGUCCGUUCGGCGGUGUGUCGGCGUGCCCGAACCCGGCCAAAUAGGCAGGGCGCGUGGCAUGACAGAUAAGAUGGUAUCAUAGCAUAAAGUAGAGAAUGGAAAAUGGCUUAGAUGGACCUAGGAGACCCUAGGAUAGUAAACCAUAGGAGAAUAAGGCUCGUGAGAGACGAGGACUUGUGACUAUUGGCGAAAGGUUAAUUGAUUGGGUCAAGAGUUGUAAACCUCUACAACGGAUAUUAGAGAUAUACUCGAGGCGUGGGCUAUUCUCGACCGAGGGUGUUCAUGUUGGGCGCGCACGACAUGAAACCGAGGGAUGAGAAUAGACGCCGUUGCUUGACUUUCGCCUAAUUUUAGUCGAUGUUAGUUGUCUCGUGUUUGACUCAGAAGGUCGAGAACUAAUCGAGUUGUCCUGUUUCAGGAAGCGAUGGCACCGCGUAGACGAUCUUCAUCCAGAUCGACGCGGGAGGGGACAAGUGGUGCCCCUAAGCAAAUCGACGCGAGCGGAGACUUGGAACUUCGCGAUCAAUUGGCCAUACUCGUGGGAGUGGUGAGGCAACAAGCCGAUGUGGUGCAGCGGCAGCAGGAGGCUGUUAUGCGUCAGGAAGAGCGGGUCAAGAGACUCCAGGAGACCGUGGAGCAGCUAGUGGCUGCGCCAGUUGCGGGUUGUCGAGGAUGGCCGGGAGUCGCGGCGGAGAUCUCUCCGUUGGGGUCGGGCGAUCCGACUUCCGAAGGUGCGUUAGUGGAGGCGGAGAAAGAGCGGGCUUUGGCGGCCCUUAUGACCUUCAAGAGGUUUGAUCCGCCUAUCUUUGAUGGAGAGAAUGUUGAUCCGUGGAUCGUGGAGAUGUGGAUUGACUCUAUGAAAAUGCUCUUCGAGGAGCUGUACACCUUGGAGCGGGACAAGGUACCCCUAGCCAUGCAUUGCUUGAAGCUGUCGGCAAAGGUGUGGUGGAAAGGCAUUCGACGGAAUCGAUCGCCUAGUCUCCCUCCUAUGGGGUGGGAUGAAUUUCGAGGAUUGGUGUUUUCGACUUACUUCCCCGACAUUGAAAAGAGAAAGCUUCAGGACAAGUUCAGGAAGCUGCGGCAGGGAGACCGCUCUGUGAAGGAAUACGAACGAGAGUUUUUCCAUAUCGUGAAUUGUGUCCCGGAUGUAGUACGGGAUGACAAGGAUAUGGCCGAUUGGUUCCUGCGUGGACUGCGAUCGGAGAUUUAUCAGGUGGUGCAAAUCUUCAAACUCACAACCUUCGCGGAGGUGUUUGAUCGAGCGUUGUUGGCAGAGCACGGCGAGGCUUUUGUGCGAGAGGAACACGAGUCUUCCGGGCGUGAGCGGGGAGGGGUGAGGCCACUGUCGAGCGGUUCGGAUAGACAAUCAAGCUCUAGGCGCCACUCGAAGUCGUCUUCUACUCGAUCCUUCCCAGGAUGCGUGAUCUGCGGUGGUUCCCAUUGGGCACGACGGUGCGUGCAGCAAGAAGGUAGAUGCACCCGAUGUGGACGACCGGGUCACCCGAACUAUGAGUGUCCGCAGGGUGACAGUCGGGGCCUGACACUAAUGACGGCCUUUUUCUCUCCGGGACAGCUUGCAGGUACGAGUUAAUUAUAGAAAGCGUAUGCUUUUGCAUAAUGUCAGGUUGGUGCAUUGCAUGCCAUUAUCAUAAGGUCGGUUGCUACUAUUUAUACAUUGCAUAGUAGGGACCGAGUGGACGGGUGAGUGUAGAUAUCCGGGCAUGCUCAUGCAGUGAGAGAGUCGCGCCUGCUGGGGCAGGUAGAGAGCCAAGUGGUACUAGUAAAUAGCUAGUAAUGGUUCUUGGACCAGGAGUGGAACUCAUGGUGAACAUGAAAUGGUGAGGUGACUCUCAAGGCAAUGGAUAGGAGAUUGCGAGAGUUGAGCCAAGAUGUUUGAGGAUACCCGAAGAGUUCGGGAAUUUCGGAUAUAGUUCCGGUGGAUCGAAUAGUGAAAGUGGAAUCACUGUUGAGAGAAUGGUUGGUUAGCGCCAAGUUUGGCCUGUGGGCCUUGUAGUACCUCGAAUCGAGGUGAAUGAGUUUUACUUGCAUGGCUGGUGCUCUCAGGCAAAGUUGCCUAAUGCUAAAUUUAGUAUAGAAAGCGUGCGACGCUCGAGUGUAAGUACUCGUAGAGUGCGGAUUUGAUACAGCCGAUGGUGAGUGAGAUGGCAAUAGCACUGUAGCAUUGCUAAGUGUGAAGCGGGCCAUGGAUCACUCGAGGGGGCUGGUGGCUCGCACUAGGUGCUUAGGAGCCGGUGGUGGUGCUUAUAGCUCGACAGAGUAUGUCGUGUAGGACGACGACGGCGGGUGUUGCUUGGGGACGACCUGUGCCUGGACCAAUUGUGGACUGUGGAGCCUAGGACCUUUGGGCAGUCGCAGUCAGCUAUUUGAGACAGCGGCCCGAUACCUAUGGGUAGGGCAGAGUUUUGGUCAGGACGGUAGUCCGAGCUUAGACUUGGGAGCGUGGAAUGCCACGUGUUGGAUCGUGAGAUCGAGGGUGCACUGAGAGUGCAGUUGUGACCCAACCCGAAGAUUUGUAGUGGUUGGGGUCAUGGUUGCUCCUGGUUGGAGUGUGAGCAAAUUCCCAAGUGAGAAUUUUGCCCAGUGAUGAUGAUUGGGUCUACGCUUGCGAGCGAGAGACGUCGAGCGUUGCAACAGGUUUAGGCGGUAGGUCUACAUAGGGUUGGUGACCAUUGGUCCACCCGUAGAGACCGAGGUGAGUGGUUGGGCCAGUACUCGUCCGAGGAGUUUGGCCGGGAUUCACGAACGGAGGGUUCGUGAGAGGUCGUUGCAAGAACGAGUAGAGGUUAGCCGUGGCAAUUGGAAUUUAAAAUGAAGUAGUCUCUUGGAGACACUUGAGUGUUGGGAAGCCACGUGAGAAUUAGAGCUUAAGGAUGAUGCUCUUUUGUGGAUUGAGAUGAGAGAUGUGCCGGAGUGUGCCAUCUCAUGAUAGAGCAAAGAUUCGGUUGAGAUAGGAGCACUCGCGAUUGGUCGAUGCACCAACGAAAUUGCUUUAGCAAUGCUGGUGAUCGAAUCAGAGUGUGUCCCAAAAUGAGAUGAGGAAUGCAAAGAGGAAUUCUUUGCAAGCUGGUUACAAGUGAUGUUGGAGCGUGUAGAGUCAUCGAGUAUCGACUCGCGCUGCCACCAAGACUCGCGGGAGUCGUGAUGCACUUUUGAAGAUGUGCUUGACAAAUAUGAGUGAAACUAGCCUCACGUCCUCCGUAGUGGGCCUUUGGAUAGUUCCGAUAAGUGAGAGGCCACUCCGGAGUUGAAAGGCGCAUUGGAAUCCCUGAUUACCCAAUAAACUGAGUUGGGGUGUGAAUUUGGUCGGAAUGAGUGAGUUUUGAGGACGAAACUUCUUUUGAGGAGGGGAGGAUGUAAGGACCUGAAUUCUCGACAUGAGAGAGUUGAACCUGGCUCGAAUCGACCUGUUGUUGGUUGGGUACGCUUCGGAAAGGCCAAAGGCGUCGUAAAUGCAUAAAGUGCAUUGUAGGAAGUCUUCGAGAGCAAGCUGGAGCAAGUCUGCAAGACUGCAGCUUUUGUGCUCUCGGGGACCGGUCCCUGAGUUGGAGGACCGGUCCCCGUACGCGUGGAAAAUGGACAAGUGCCCAUUCUGUGCUGGACUGCUCUCGGGGACCGGUCUCUCAGGCAAGGACCGGUCCUCCGGGGUCCGGUCUCUUGAGCAAGGACCGGUUCCCGUACGUGUUGGAGUUGGAGCAGAGUGUCCUGCGAGAGAGCUGCUCUUGGGGACCGGUCCCUCUUGGGGAGAGACCGGUCCCCGUGUAACAAUGUGAAUCUUCGAAGUCCGGGGGUUGCACUUCGUCCAGGAUCGACUAAUGGUCGAAUGGAUAAGCUUUGGAAAAGCUUAGGAUGCACGAGAAUCGAGAAGUGCAUUAGAAUGGAGUCCGUGAGAGCAAAUAAUGCAAUUAGCGUUUUGGGCUGAGAUUGCUCUCGGGGACCGGUCUCUGGAGGUGAGAGACCGGUCCAAUCAGCCUAAGGCUGUGGGGUUGCUGAUGCAACCGGUCCCUGGCAGAGGAGGGACCGGUCCCAGCCUGCGACAUCAGUGAGAAGAGCCGAAAAUCGGCUAAGUCCCGAAAGUAUAGCUCUCGGGAACCGGUCUCUCUGCGAGGAACCGGUCUCCCGAGGACCGGUCUCUCAGGGAGAGACCGGUUCCCGAACGCGUGUCUGCGGGGGGAGGCCCGGGGGACCGGUCCCUGGUCGGGGAGACCGGUCCCUCCGCGCGCAGAAUGCCCAGUGAGGACUGUGUGAGAGAUGAAAAGUGGAGGGGCCUUUGGGGAUAUUGUUACAAAAUGAGAGAGGGUAUUAGAGAGAGAUCCUUUCCUCUCUCUCUCUCUCUCACUCCCUCAGCCACUUUCCCUCUCCCUGAGAUCGUGCGAAGGGGAAAAGAAAGGAAAGAAAGGAAAAAGAGAAGAAGAGAAAGAAGAGAAGAAAGGAAAAGAAGGAGAAGAUGGAGGAGAUGCAGGAGAUCAUCGCCAUCAUCAUCCUCUUCAUCUUCUUCUCUCCUUUGGAGCUUUUGGAGAGGUAAGCUUGGUGCCCUCUCUUGGUAGAUCUCUUGUGUUUGGGUUUUAAACCCUAGAAAUGGAUUUAAUGGUACCCUAGCAUGCUAUUUAGAUGAUUUCACCCCAUUUCAUAGGUCGAUUUGGUGGAUUUGGCAAUAAUGGCAUCUAGGGCAUCAAAGCGGGGUUUUUGUAAAUAGAUGAGAUUGAUCUCAUUUGACCCCUUGUUAACCUAAUUGGUAGGUAACGGAACACGUUGGCGAAGUCGGUUCGGCGAUCCGACGAGCCGUCGCGAAGGUAUUGAAGAAACGGGCGCUCGGAGCUUCGUUUCCGCCUGGGAGGCCGAGGCGACGUCCAUAAAUUGUGAGAGUGGGUCCCGAGCACCGGAGCGGCAAGGCGAAGGUCGCUGACACUCGAAACGGCGAAGUGGCGCGCUCUUGGGGAGCCACUGUGAGUUUGGGCCCAAACGGGUGCCGAGUGCCGCGGGAGGCCGAUUGCAAGUGUCGACGAGCAAUCGGAAAAGCUAACUAAGUUGGGAUGUGCUUACCGAAGCGACUAGGUCGCCCUUUAUGUCUUAGUAAUGUAAUCACUUGUUGAUGCAUGUGCAUGUAGACAUGAGUAAAGUAAAGAAUGCAUAUUAGAUAAGAUGCAUAGAAUAAAUGCUAAGUAAUGUAAAGAACGCAUGCUAACAAUAAUGCAUAGGUAGAAAUGCUAAGUAGAAUCCAUGAUGCAUAAAGAUGCAUAGAGUAAAUGCUAAGUGAGAAGCAUGAGGUAAUAACUCUAGAGUGGAUUGGACAACUAGGUUGUCAGGUAGAUCGAGUGGCAUCUAACCUAGUGUUAAAGAACAUAUAUUGAAUAGUAAACCUAGAGUCGAACAAUCUAGGUGUGUGGCAUCGAACCUAGUGUUAGUGAACCUAGGUUGAACUAGUGAACCUAGGUUGAACUAGUAAACCUAGAAGUGGACAUCUAGGCCAAGUCGACAAGAACCUAGCAAGUGUACCUAGGUUAAGUGACGUGGACAUAGAACCUAGAGUCUUGGAACCUAGGUUGAUGAGUAUAGUGGUAUAGCCACUAGGAUGAGUUAGGUCGAUGAUAUAGGGCUGGUUAUGAACCCUCGACCUGUGGAAAGUGGAUUCCGGGAUCCCAGGACUUUUGAUGUCCCUAGUACAAGCUAGGGCGUGUGUGCGACGACUUCGCCGCCGAGCUUGGUACUGUGGGUAGAUUGGGCGUGACCAUGUGGAGAUCACCGCCCGGGGCUUGAACCUUUGCCGUGGCGUUUGUGCGACGAUUUCGCCGCCAGGAUGGUUAAGCCAUUUAGGAUCAGACCGCCAGAGCAGACCAAAUCCAUGCUGGGUAAGCACGAUGCGGGUGCCUCCAGGUGACUGAGUCUGACAUGACCGUUGUUGGGUGUGGUGCGACUCGUUCGCCGCCAGACGGUGUGUCAGGUCCCGAGCUCACGCUGGGUAAAAGCAACGCGAUCGCCGCCAGAUGGUCAAGUCGUGCGACUUGAGCCGGGCCUAGCGUGUGCGACGAUUUCGCCGCUAGUGGGCUAUGACAGAGAGGGCGGUAGGCUGUUGAGCGGCCAGCGCGCGGGCUAUCCGCGGAUGAUUGACUCAAAGCCGAGUCGGGUGGUUAGCUAUGAUAAGGUAGAGGAACCCUUAUGAGCUAGAGAUAGAGGCUUGAGCUAAGGUAAUAGAGACCUUAGAGUAAAGAUAUAAGCUAAAGUAGCUAAGUAAUUGUAGAAUCAAGUAAUCUACUAGAAAGGCGUAUGNGGUACCGGACUUCUAAAAUUAUGAAGUUACGGUGUACAUUUGGUUUGAAAGCCAUUUGAAUGAUUCCGGUGAGGUUGCGGUGAAAUGUAAUAUACCGAAUUUUAAAUAUAAAAAUAAAAAUAAAUAAAAAUAGUGUGAGAUACUAUUUUUAUUCGAUUUAGAGGAGUAAAAUAUAAGUCAGAAGUGACUUGUGCUGAAAUCAGAAUGAAAACAGAAGAUGUAGAAUUUUCUGUUGGAAACGGGACAGAUAAGUAGGCAGAAAAUGCACAGUCUCAGAAAAUUAUGAAAAUUGGAGGAUAAAUCAAAAAUAUUUUUAUGAGACUAGAUUUAAAGUUUCAUAUUUUUCUGACACCCGUAGAGUGAGAAAUAAAAUCUGACAGCUAUCUGAUAAAGAUUACAGUUCGGUACAGUUUUCAGUGACCAAACGGGGUCGAAACUGAAAACUUAAGAUAUAUUCUUACUCAGUACGUUAAACCGAGGCUACCUAUCAAAUUUGAGCCCAAACGGACAUUCAGAAGGGCUCCAACUAUUCCGAACUGCUAAAACUGCCUGGAAUGAAUAGUGCUUUGAGGGUGUUAAUUAAAGAAGCCUUUUGCUUCUUCCUCAGCAGACCACACCCAUGGCCACACACACACGCACGCAUGGAGGGGGGGAGAAACCCUCCUUUCUCUCUCUAAAGAUCUCUCUCAUCUCUCCAAAUCUCUCGCUCAAAUUCGCGGCGUUGGUGGAAAAGAUGCUUGCGAACGCAUUGGAGGCGACGGAUCGAGCUUCGUGCGCCCGUUGGAGCGGCGUAUUUUCGUCGCGGCGUUCACAUUGAGGUAAGCUUUUGGGAUUUGGCUUAAUCCUUAGCUUUAAAUGUUCUAAUAGCCUCUAAUGAGCUUUGUUAGCAUGUUUAUCCAUUUAAUUUUGGAUUACUUUGAGGUUAAUUGCAUAUUAGGUCUCCGAAUGGGGUUUUAUAACAUAUAAGGGUUUGAUCUAAUUUGACCCUUCGCAAACCUAAUUGCUAGGUAAACGAACGCGUUGGCGAAGUCGGUUCGGCGAUUCGUCAAGCCGGUGCGAAGUUAUUAAAGAAACGGAUGUUUAGGCUUCGUUUUCGCCUGGAGGGCCGAGGCGACGUCGUAAAAUCCUGGAAACGGAUUUGAAGCACUGUAACAGCAAAACGAAGACCCUUUUUGCCCGAGGCUGCGAAGCGAUGCGCGGUUGGGGCGCAAUUGCAAGUUUCGGCAGAACCGAGCACCGGAUGCCGUGGGAGGCCGAUUGCAAGUGUCGACAAGCAAUCGGAAUGCGAAAUGAGGUGGGUUGUGCUUACCCAAGCGACUAGGUCGCCCUUUAUGUCUAAGAGAAAUGUAAAUUCAUAUUGAUGCAUAUAAAUGGUAGAUGAAUGCAAGAGUUAAAUGCUAGGCGAAUGCAUGUUAAUUGCUAUGCUACGACUACCAUAGAAUGCAUGAUGAACAUAUUAUAGAAAUGCUAAAUAAUGCAUGUGAGCAUAUGGUAAAGAAUGCAUGUUAAUGACAUAAUGUAAAUAUGCUUGUUAAUACAUGUAUGAUGACAUGAUGAGAAAAUGCUAGAUUAAAUGCAUAUUAACAUGUUGUAGAUCAUGUGAGAAAGAUUAUGCAUGUUGGCAUCACAUAAUGCAUGCUAGAUAAAAUGUGGAUAGUUAUGGAACUCGACAUGGACAAUUAGGAUGUCAAAUAGAUCGAGUGGCACUUAACCUAGUGUUAAAGAACAUAGGUUGUGAAUGAAUCUAGAGUCAUAUGAACUAGAUCGAGUGGCAUCCAACCUAGUGUAUUAAACAUAGGUUGAACAGGAAUGACAAUGUACCUAGUGUUAUUAAACAUAGGUCGAGUGGCAUCUAACCUAGUGUUAAAGAACAUAGGUUGAGAAUAAACCUAGAGUUAACUAAAUCUAGGUGUGUGGCAUUAACCUAGUGUCGUGAACAUAGGUUAUGGAUUGAACCUAGAGUUAAAGUAAACCUAGGUUAUGUGAUAGAGAC
rnacentral:lncRNA from 1 species